rnacentral:rRNA from 1 species
UAGGGAAUCUUCGGCAAUGGGGGGAACCCUGACCGAGCAACGCCGCGUGAGUGAAGAAGGUUUUCGGAUCGUAAAGCUCUGUUGUUAAGGAAGAACGAAUGGGAGAAUGGAAAGUUCAUACUGUGACGGAACUUAACCAGAAAGGUACGGCUAUCUACGGGCCAGCAGCCGCGGUAAUAAGUAGGUCCCGAGCAGUGUCCGGAUGUAUUGGGCGAAAGGCGAGCGCAGGCGGUUAGAAAAGUCUGAAGUUAAAGGGAGUGGCUAAACCAUUGAAGGCUUUGGAAACUGGUUAACUUGAGUGCAGAAGGGGAGAGUGGAAUUCCAUGUGUAGCGGUGAAAUGCGUAGAUAUAUGGAGGAACACCGGUGGCGAAAGCGGCUCUCUGGUCUGUAACUGACGCUGAGGCUCGAAAGCGUGGGGAGCGAACAGG